rnacentral:snRNA from 1 species
AUCGCUUCUCGGCCUUUUGGCUAAGAUCAAGUGUAAAAAAAAAAAACAUUCUAACCACUUGUGUUUCAUCAGUUUGUUAGAUAAUUAAUUGAUUAAAGCAAGCAAAUCAUGAGGUGACAUUUUUGCAAUUAUUUUUCUAAAAGGGUAU